UGGAAAGCGUAUAUCUGACGCACAUGAUCAGUGUGUUCAGUGAGUGUGGAGUGCGUGAGACUUGCAUUUGACCAGUUUCCUGCGCUAUGAGUACGGGCCGCACUUAUAAAGCAUGUGUGACGCAUGUGAUUAGCACAUUACAAUCACUCAUAACUUGCGUGUGAUGCAAGCCAGGAGUGGGUAUAAAACCAGCGUGCCUGCAGCAUUCUGCAUCUGUCUUUCGGCUGAAGAACAUUGGAUAUUUUGUGGGAAAAAUUUAAAAAUUUUCAGUUUAAAGUUUAGAAAAUGGGACCCAAGAAGAAGUGAGCAAAAGUGAAGUAACCCAGCCUGAAACAGCAGAGGGGGAGGAGGAGGAAGAAUUUGAUGACGAUGGUAGCAGCACCGGCGAGCCCUGCACAGACAGGGAGAAAUAUGCCUUCAAGCCGGCAGAAGGCACAGCACUCCGCCAGAGGUAUUUUCACCGCUAACAGCGCCCAGAAGUGAGGACACUGCAAUCCCAUCAUCGCUGUCAGGCCAUUGUGCCAUGCUCAGUGAUAAGGACAAGGACAUCCCGACACCCCGUCCCACCACUCAGCAGGAGUAGGAGCAGGACAGCAGCUCGGAGUCAAAGUGUGUUUCAGUGCUCAAACUGUUGGGCUAUUUAGUUGGGAUUUUUUACAGCGUAAUAAAAUACGUUAUUCCCUUA